rnacentral:rRNA from 1 species
AGCGAACGCUGGCGGCAGGCCUAACACAUGCAAGUCGAGCGCGUGUAGCAAUACACGAGCGGCAGACGGGAGAGUAACACGUGGGAACGUACCCUUCGGUUCGGAAUAAACCAGGGAAACUUGGACUAAUACCGGAUACGUCCGAAAGGAGAAAGAUUCAUCGCCGAAGGAUCGGCCCGCGGCUGAUUAGCUAGUUGGUGAGGUAACGGCUCACCAAGGCGACGAUCGGUAGCUGGUCUGAGAGGAUGAUCAGCCUCACUGGGACUGAGACACGGCCCAGACUCCUACGGGAGGCAGCAGUGGGGAAUAUUGGACAAUGGGCGCAAGCCUGAUCCAGCCAUGCCGCGUGGGUGAUGAAGGCCCUAGGGUUGUAAAGCCCUUUCGGCGGGGAAGAUAAUGACGGUACCCGCAGAAGAAGCCCCGGCUAACUUCGUGCCAGCCGCCGCGGUAAAAC